rnacentral:rRNA from 1 species
AGCUCUCCGAGUGGUAUGGAUGUUUAUUGGGCCUAAAGCAUCCGUAGCUGGCCAAGUUAGUCCCUUGUUAAACCCACCGAAUUAAUCGUUGGCGUGCGGGGGAUACUGCUCGGCUAGGGGACGAGAGAGGCAGACGGUAUUCUCGGGGUAGGGGUGAAAUCCUAUAAUCCCGAGAAGACCACCAGUGGCGAAGGCUGUCUGCUAGAACGCGCCCGACGGUGAGGGAUGAAAGCUGGGGGAGCGAACC